UAUAUAUAACUAUUCUGUUCCUGGGAUCAGGAUAGUUAUUCAGAUCACAACGGCGCUAUAUAGGCGCGACGCGGUGUUGCCGGACUGCCCAAACCGCAAAAAAGCCUGCCGGCCCACUCACUCCCGCACGACCUUUUGCCCCGAUCCACCCGACCACCUCCCGCCGGUGGUCAACGCCCCUGGCGCAUCACCCCCCGCCGCCGCUCCUCCCCCUGGCCGGACGCGCCUCCGGGCGCCGCCGGAUCCCAACACCGCCACGCGUCGCCGGAGCACCGGAAUCCCGCGCGCUGCCGCCGCCCACGGGUCCGCCCUGGGACCCAUCCCGCCACCACGUGCCGGCGCGCGGUCCACCGGAUCUCCCAGACGCCGUUGCUACUCCUCAUCGCCAGCCAACCUCGUCCUCCUCGGGCAGCCCUGUCGGCCGUCUUCUCCCACCGCCGCGCGUCGUCCUCCUCCCAUGGCCCCCGAUCCGCCGCCGGCCUUCUCCCAUAGCCCCACCCAAUCCACUGUCGUGCGCGGCACCGAGGCUGGCAGGUACCCCGUGCAUCUGCAAGCUGCUGCAGUUGGCUGCGCCACCUCAUCUACUCGCUGGCUUCCGCACGUGAGCACAACCGGAGAGCCCGUGUAACUUCUACAUCUGCCCACGCAUCCUCAUGCUCUGCCUCCGCUCUCUCUGAUUAGUUCACCUUCUCAUGAGUGCCACCUCGACCUUCCCUGUACCAGCUAAUUUUUAACUUCAUUGUACGCAUGUGUUCUCAUUUUGAUUUGUAUCCACUUGUAGGAACUAAAAAUGUACGCAUGUGUUCUCCUUUUGAUCUGUAUCUACUACUAUCUAAAUCUUAUUAUCUAGGUGCCAAAAAAAUGUGCGCCGAGACGCCGCCCCCGCGGCCGAACUCCUGCCUCCGCUUGGCUCCGUCCGCAGCAGCACACCACCUCCCUCGCCAUCCACCUGCCUGUGUUCAUAUUCUGCAGGUGACCUUCUCUCCUCACGCGUACUAACCUUCCUCCUCCUCCUCCUGCUUCCUCCUCCCCUUUAGGAUGAUUGAACUAUGUCGCAUGGAGUAGUAGAACCGUCGGCGUGUCUGGCUCCCAUUCCUCAUUUGUGCGCCUUGACUUCUGGCGGUGCCACGAUGAGAAACCAACUCGUCCAAUUUUUCAGCGGGGGAUCACACAAUGGGUUUUGAGGGGUACUGGAGUUCAGAGUGAACGUGGAUUAAGCAGUUUGGAGUGUAUUUAUAUAGAAGAAGAAAAAACAACGGCACCUGCACCGGAGCAGCAGGACAACGCACCCUCCCAGCGAUGGCGCAGCAGCGCAUUCGCCGUCUGUGCACAUGUGUGUGAAGUGCACUUGAGGGAGCACUCCCCUGUUGCUAUUCUGCACCUACGCCUCCCCAUGGAUCCCAUUCUCUUCUCUUCUUUUUGCUAUGAGUUUGUAAAUUGAAGAUCAGUCAUAACAGGGGAAGAAAAAGCUUUAGAGAGUUUUUCGUAAAAAAAUCAAAGAUGUUAUUCAGAUUGUGAUGGACUUUUCGUACAUGUUUAUGCUAGUUCAUGCUCGUUUGUACUCUUUUUUACUCUGUUUCAGAUUUUGGUUUGAAGAAGUAUGUGCAUGUUGACAGAGACAAUCUAUACAGAGAAGUUCAAAUAUUAUUG